rnacentral:rRNA from 1 species
GGACCAUCAUGUCGGUCGUGCCUCGGUACGUACUGGUAUUGUUAGUUUCUCCCUUCUGACGAACCAUGAUGUCAUUUAUUUGGUGUUGUGGGAAAUCAGGACUGUUACUUUGAAAAAAUUAGAGUGUUUAAAGCAGGCUCACGCUUGAAUACAUUAGCAUGGAAUAAUAGAAUAGGACGGCAUGAUUCUAUUUUGUUGGUUUCUAGGAUCGACGUA